UGAGGAAUUUUGCGCAAUGGGGGGAACCCUGACGCAGCAACGCCGCGUGGGUGAUGAAGGCCUUCGGGUCGUAAAGCCCUGUCGGGCGGGAAGAACGUCCCUUCGGGGAAUGACGGUACCGCCAGAGGAAGCACCGGCUAACUCCGUGCCAGCAGCCGCGGUAAUACGGAGGGUGCAAGCGUUAUUCGGAAUUACUGGGCGUAAAGGGCGUGCAGGCGGGAGAGCAAGUCUGAUGUGAAAGCCCGGGGCUGAACCCCGGAAGGGCAUUGGAAACGGCGUUU
rnacentral:rRNA from 1 species